GCCUAAUGCAUGCAAGUCGAGCGACGCAUACCGGAGGGGUAACCCACUGGUAUGACGGAGCGGCGAACGGGUGAGUAACACGUGAGUAACCUGCCCCACAGACCGGGACAGCCCAGGGAAACCUGGAUUAAUACCGGAUACCCUCGAAGGAUCGCAUGAUCUUUCGAGGAAAUGCCUUUGUGCUGUGGGAUGGGCUCGCGACUUAUCAGCUAGUUGGUGGGGUAACGGCCUACCAAGGCGUCGACGAGUAGCUGGUCUGAGAGGACGAUCAGCCACACUGGGACUGAGACACGGCCCAGACUCCUACGGGAGGCAGCAGCAGGGAAUCUUGCGCAAUGGGCGAAAGCCUGACGCAGCAACGCCGCGUGGGGGAUGAAGGCCUUCGGGUUGUAAACCCCUUUCAGGAGGGAAGAAAUUGACGGUACCUCCAAAAGAAGCACCGGCCAACUACGUGCCAGCAGCCGCGGUAAUACGUAGGGUGCGAGCGUUAUCCGGAAUCAUUGGGCGUAA
rnacentral:rRNA from 1 species